GUAUACUUAUCCCAAUCACCAAAUCUCAACUACGUACUGAGGGUGUCUAUGGGCGGCGGUGGUGAUUGCUUACCAUCAAGUGAUCCGUCUGCUCGUUUACCGGCUAAUACCAUAUAAAAUCAACUCAAUGGAUCGUUACCUAUUUUAACUUUUGUAAAAUUAAUUAUUUGCCUGACAAACUAACUUGACAGAUUGUUACCUAUUCCAACUUUAGCAAAGUUAAUAAUUCACCAGACAGUCAGUCAACCAUCCUCCUAGGCAACUCAGAUGCAACUAAACGACCAAGUUGAGGUGAAUAAUCAUACAUAAACAAUUCACGUAGUUGUCGCAUGAUCCAAUUAGACAACCUAUUAAAAUUUAAAUAAGGUUUGUUUUAAAUAACUGGAAACUAUAAGUGCAGUAUUUAUGAAUAGUGAACAAAGCUACUUUGUAAUCAAUGCCCUAGUACAUACUGGAUAGGACGAUGCCGCCCAACACGGAUGUUAAUGUGAUAUCAUGUAUAUGGAUCGGGUACUUGUACAUAGAUUCAUUCAUUACGCUGAAGAUCAAGGACAGUUUUUUAUCAUAGAACGACAAGACUGCUAAUCGGGGCGUGGUCGUUUGUAUCUGUAUAUAAGCCAGGACCGACAGACCAACAGCAUCACUUGAGACAGCAAUCCCAAGUAACUCUACAACCAUGUUCUUCAGACUGUUCGCCCUCUUCGCCGUGUUGGCCGUGGCUUUCGCCAGCCCCAGCCCCAACCCCAAGCCUGAGCCCCAGUUUGUCUACUCCGCUGGCGCUGCGUACCCCUACGGCUACGCCCCGGUUGCCGCUGCCUACUCCGCUCCCUACGCUGCCUACCCUGGCUACGCCUACGGAUCUUACUUCGUCCGCUGAUAAACCAAACAACACGAAAAUACUUUGGCUUGCUCAAUGACUCUGAUUCCAAAACGUUUGAACAUGUUUUAAUAUAAGUUUUUUGUCGCAAA